GGGAUAGAAUUCCAGGAGUAGCGGUGAAAUGCGUAGAUAUCUGGAGGAAUACCAAAGGCGAAGGCAGUCCCCUGGUCCGAUACUGACACUGAGGUACGAAAGCGUGGGGAGCAAACAGGAUUAGAUACCCUGGUAGUCCACGCCCUAAACGAUGUCAUUAGCCAUUGGAAGGACCCCUUUUCCUUUCAGUGACGUAGCUAACGCGUUAAAUCGACCGCCUGGGAAGUACGACCGCAAGGUUAAAACUCAAAGGAAUUGACGGGGACCUGAACAAGCGGUGAAUGAUGUGGAUUAAUUCGAUGCUACGCGAAGAACCUUACCUACCUUUGACAUGGCCAAAGUUCUACCGAGAGGCGGAAGUACUCGUAAGAGGAUUGGCGCACAGGUGCUGCAUGGUUGUCGUCAGUUCGUGUCGUGAGAUGUUGGGUUCAGUCCCGCAACGAACGCAACCCUUAUCUUUAAUUGCUCCUAUUUUAACAGGCACUUUAAAGAAACUGCCAAUGAUAAGUUGGAGGAAGGUGGGGAUCACGUCAAGUCCGCAUGGCCUUUAUAGGUAGGGCUUCACACGUCAUACAAUGGUUAGAACAAAGAGCUGCAAAUUCGUAAGAAGGAGCCAAUCUCACAAACCUAACCUCAGUUCGAAUUGCGGUCUGCAACUCGAGCGCAUGAAGCCGGAAUCGCUUGUAAUCGUGGAUCAGAAUGCCACGGUGAAUACGUUCUUAGGUCUU
rnacentral:rRNA from 1 species